CUGUUAGAACUCUGUCCAAAAAGUGCAUGGAAUAUAACUUGUAAAGCUUCCCACAAUUGACAAUAUAUGUGCAUGUGUUUAAGCCAAAUCCAGAAAGCUUAAACAAUAGAGCUGCAUAAUAGUAUUUAUUAAAGAAUCACAACUGUAAACAUGAGAAUAACUUAAGGAUUCUAGUUUAGUUUUUUGUAAUUGCAAAUUAUAUUUUUGCUGCUGAUAUAUUAGAAUAAUUUUUAAAUGUCAUCUUGAAAUAGAAAUAUGUAUUUUAAGCACUCAUGCAAAGGUAAAUG
rnacentral:lncRNA from 1 species